rnacentral:rRNA from 1 species
UACAGAGGUCUCAAGCGUUGUUCGGAUUCAUUGGGCGUAAAGGGUGCGUAGGCGGCGGGGCAAGUCGGGUGUGAAAUCUCAGGGCUCAACCCUGAAACUGCAUUCGAUACUGCCUUGCUCGAGGACUGGAGAGGAGAUUGGAAUUCACGGUGUAGCAGUGAAAUGCGUAGAUAUCGUGAGGAAGACCAGUGGCGAAGGCGGAUCUCUGGACAGUUCCUGACGCUGAGGCACGAAGGCCAGGGGAGCAAACGGG